GGGUCCGUGGGGUAGCCUGGCCAUCCUUCCAGCUUCGGGAGUUGGAAACUCCGGUUCAAAUCCGGACGGGCCCA
rnacentral:tRNA from 1 species